rnacentral:rRNA from 1 species
GUUUGAUCCUGGCUCAAGACGAACGCUGGCGGCGUGCUUAACACAUGCAAGUUGAACGGUUUAUGGUGAUGAAGUGUCUUCGGGCAUGGAUAUCCAUAGGCAGUAGCGAACGGGUGAGUAAUGCGUGAGGACCUGCCCCGAGGAGGGGGACAGCAGUUGGAAACGGCUGGUGAUACCCCGUAUGCCGGGAGGUGAAGGGGUCUUUUAGGCCUGUCUUGGGAUGGACUCACGUCCUAUCAGCUAGUUGGCGAGGUAACGGCUCACCAAGGCGACGACGGGUAGCCGGCCUGAGAGGGUGUCCGGCCACACUGGAACUGAGACACGGUCCACACUCCUACGGGAGGCAGCAGUGGGGAAUUUUGGGCAAUGGGGGAAACCCUGACCCACCAACGCCGCGUGAGGGAAGAAGGUUUUCGGAUUGUAAACCUCUGUCCUUGGUGAAGAGCAGAAGACGGUAGCCAAGGAGGAAGCCCCGGCUAACUACGUGCCAGCAGCCGCGGUAAUACGUAGGGGGCGAGCGUUGUCCGGAAUGAUUGGGCGUAAAGGGCGCGUAGGCGGCUUGUUAAGUCUGGAGUGGAAGUCCUCUUUUCAAGGGAGGAAUUGCUUUGGAAACUGGCGGGCUUGAGUGCAGGAGAGGUUAUCGGAAUUCCCGGUGUAGCGGUGAAAUGCGUAGAGAUCGGGAGGAACACCAGUGGCGAAGGCGGGUAACUGGACUGCAACUGACGCUGAGGCGCGAAAGUGUGGGGAGCAAACAGAAGUAGAUACCCUGGUAGUCCACACUGUAAACGAUGAGUGCUAGGUGUAGGAGGUAUCGACCCCUUCUGUGCCGGAGUAAACGCAAUAAGCACUCCGCCUGGGGAGUACGGUCGCAAGAUUAAAACUCAAAGGAAUUGACGGGGGCCCGCACAAGCAGCGGAGCAUGUGGUUUAAUUCGACGCAACGCGAAGAACCUUACCAGGUCUUGACAUCCAGCAAAAGCUGUGGAAACACGGUGUGUCUUCGGACAUGCUGAGACAGGUGGUGCAUGGUUGUCGUCAGCUCGUGUCGUGAGAUGUUGGGUUAAGUCCCGCAACGAGCGCAACCCUUGUCCAUAGUUACUAACGCGUAGAGGCGAGGACUCUAUGGAGACCGCCGGGGACAACUCGGAGGAAGGUGGGGACGACGUCAAAUCAUCAUGCCCCUUAUGAUCUGGGCUACACACGUGCUACAAUGGCCGAGACAGAGAGGAGCGAAGGCGUGAGCCGGAGCGGAUCUCAAAAAAGCGGUCGAAGUUCGGAUUGUGGGCUGCAACCCGCCCACAUGAAGCCGGAGUUGCUAGUAAUCGCGGAUCAGCAUGCCGCGGUGAAUACGUUCCCGGGCCUUGUACUCACCGCCCGUCA